AAAAAACUGCAAGCGGAUCAUAGAAAGUUGGAUCCUAAAUCACUCAAAUGAGUCUGAGCUGCAGGACUGGGUCCCAGAAACAGACAGGCAUUGCUGGCUCGAAGACAGAGAGGGAUGAAUUAUGACUGCACCCCAAAAUUGCUGGCCUUGGCUGAAGGAAAGGUUUGACUCGGUCCAAGCUGUAUGGAACUAAGCAGGAAAGGAUGAAUUGGAACACAAUUACCCACUUGGUCAGUAGACCUCUGUCCAAACUAUACUACGUUGGACUUAGUGAAGACACAGAAAAGGUUAUUCAGAAAUUGAGGUUCAAGCCAGCUCUGCGUUUAAUGGUAAUCACUGCACACCAAGAUUAAUAGAACAUCAUUCAGUGACUGAGAAAGCAAGUUAUGAUGAAGAAGCUGUUGAAACAGGAAACAGUUGAUUUCCCAGGAGUCUCGUAAAUCUGCCUCUGAUGUCCUUUCAAAUUCUCUGUUAUUGCUGCAAAAAUUUUAAACACCAGUAAAAGGGUGAAAUGGCUGACACACUCAUUUACCAUGAGAAGAAUUGUGUUCUGGGCCUGUGCUGGCAAACUCAUCCAGCGUGCUUAAGCAGAUACACAAAAAAAAAAAACAGAGAGACCUUCUCAGACUGGCUUUGGAACAUGUGAUGGCACCCUGGCUCCAUCACAGUUCAGAGCCUCGCUGCCUUUGUUUUGCCUCACCUUUCCCACUUAUCACCAUUUGGCACCCACACCAUUUCUUCCCUUCAGCAUCUUUCCUUGGAGGUCUCCAGAUCUGUCACAUGCCCAUGACAUUGCAGGCUUAGAGGUUCCUGGAAAAGUGCUUGCAGGGUACUCCUGCGCUACAUGUUCCUUCCAGUGUUCUAGUGACAGCAUGCCAUAAAUCUUUACUAGACAUGCAGCAAUCCAGCCAAGAGGACUACAAUACCAUAGGAUUUAUUUUAUUUUAUGCUGUUUAUUUGAAGUCACUAAUUUUAUCCUAAAUGAGGUCUGGUGCUGUUCUGGGUAUUUUGCCAACUUUUAAAUUGAGCCACCCAAGAAGAGAAGACCAGGCAUCAUAUCUGAGUGAGAUGCCAGCUAUAUUUAUCCGCACAUCAAUUAAAGACAGUCCAGAAACAAGAGAUAAUUCUAUUCAUAGUGACUCUUCCUUUAAAAACCUAUUGGUUCUCCACAUGUUUUGUGAUCCAUAGUCAAGCACAACUACAGCUGUCCUCAGAGCAGUAGCCCCACAAAACACUCAAGAAAGUGUAUUUUUUUUGCCAUUCAGACCCUAUAUUCCCUCAGUGCAGGGAAUCUGGGUUCAAUUUGCAGCUCUGUUACGGAUGCACCAUCUUUCAGUAGACAAAUCACUCUCCUUGUAACACGGUUUGCAGUCUGACAGUGACUUGUGCACAGCUAGCGUUGUUGGCCAUGUAAUCUAUUUAGACUGCAAGGUAACAGCAGAGAAACUCUUUUCCACAAUAAGAGUCUCUUGACAUAAAUGCUUCACCACAACAUUAAAAAAUGACACCAGAGAGAAGCCGAUAACCAGCAUACGAUUCUUGAAGAAGUCACAGAAAUUGGAAGUCACGACAUCUACACAUGGACAUCGGUUGCUAUUGUGCUGAGAAACUAAUUUUUCAGAAUUGUGAUCUUUUCUUCAUGAGUGUUGAAGUAUUAUUCAUUUUUAACUACGUUAUUUAUUUUUCCACUAAUAAAAAAGGACAAAAACUAGAUUUAAA